ACGAACGCUGGCGGCGUGCCUAACACAUGCAAGUCGAACGGGGGUAGCAAUACCUCAGUGGCGAACGGGUGCGUAACACGUGAAGAAUUUGUCCAACGGCGGGGGAUAGCCGGCCCAACGGCCGGGUAAUACCGCGUACGACCUUCGGGGGGCAUCCCCUGGAGGUGAAAGCCGCAAGGCGCCGAUGGAGAACUUCGCGGCCUAUCAGCUAGUUGGUGAGGUCAUGGCUCACCAAGGCGACGACGGGUAGCUGGUCCGAGAGGAUGACCAGCCACAUUGGGACUGAGACACGGCCCAGACUCCUACGGGAGGCAGCAGUGGGGAAUAUUGCGCAAUGGGCGAAAGCCUGACGCAGCGACGCCGCGUGUGGGAUGACGGCCUUCGGGUUGUAAACCACUGUCGCGAGGGACGAAGAUCUGACGGUACCUCGAAAGGAAGCACCGGCUAACUCUGU
rnacentral:rRNA from 1 species